UGAAGGAGAGGGCCGAGGCCAGCAUCGCGCCCGAGUACACUUCCAGGCAGGGUCCACCCUUCAGGAGCAGAGAGGAAGCGCAGCUGCUCAGAACUGUCCUGCAGGACUCCAUCAACCUUUUAGAGCAGCUCCGCCGUUCCCUGAUGCUGC